GCGCUCGUUUUGGCAGCACAUAUACUAAAACUGGAACGAUACAAAGAAGAUUAAUUAGCAUGGCCCCUGAGCAAGGUUGACAUGCAAAUUCGUGAAGCUUCCAUAUUUUUA
ensembl:snRNA U6 U6 spliceosomal RNA